UUGUGCCUACGGGAGGCAGCAGUGAGGAAUAUUGGUCAAUGGCCGGGAGGCUGAACCAGCCAAGUCGCGUGAGGGAAGACGGCCCUACGGGUUGUAAACCUCUUUUGUCAGGGAGCAAGGUGCAGGUCGGGACCUGCUGUGAGAGUACCUGAAGAAAAAGCAUCGGCUAACUCCGUGCCAGCAGCCGCGGUAAUACGGAGGAUGCGAGCGUUAUCCGGAUUUAUUGGGUUUAAAGGGUGCGUAGGCGGCAUUAUAAGUUAGUGGUAAAAUAUUGGGGCUUCACCUCACUACGCCAUUAAUACUGU
rnacentral:rRNA from 1 species